CCCUUGCAUAGCACACUGGCCAGGGCCGGAGGACAGCUUCUCCCCAUCUGCAGCUCAGCUGCUCCUUGCUCUAACUGUGAGUUUCACAGCACACAUUUUGAAGUUCCUGGCGAAAUCUGAUUUGCCGUCUGUUAUUUAUCGACGUCCUUUCCACUUUGUGGCAGGCCUCUGCUUCCUGCAGGUCCUGAUUUCUUUCCCGGGGGUUUGUGCUGUUGUGUUGCACUGUUGGAUCUGUCUCUGGGAGGCCAGGGAGGUCUGGACCACGUCCAUCCCUCUGCCCUGGGCCACCUGCUCUGCCGCUCCUCCACAGACCCCUCAGCAGCCCUGCAGGAGAUGGAGCAUCCGGACUGUGUGGGUCUGUCUCCUCCACAGUCACGGCGCAGUCCUCCGCCUCCAUCCUGUGGAUCACUUCCCUAUUGCAGCUGCUGCCCUUCCGCCAGCCUGAGUGUCUGAAGAGCACGGUCCUGACGGCUUUAUGGUGCUGAGGAGAUGCUCCGAAGGAGAACCGUCUUCCAGUCAUGGGCACAGUCUUUGUCGCUCUGCUCCUUCAGGGCUCAGGCCUUCGGCACUCUGCCCUCCUCCUCCGGCUCUCAGCAGAUCCAACGCACGUCCCCUUAGAAGGACACCUGACCAGAGUGCUUCGCUUGGGGAAGACGCUGCAGCAGCCCUGCCCCUCACUCUGUGCUGGCGGCCCCUCAGUGGUGCAUAGCAAGGCUCGUUUCUCUGCUGCCUGUACCCUGAGGCCUCCCUGAGCUCACAACUAGUUCUAGGGGUCGGCGUGUGGGGCCUGAGCUUCUGACAUAGACACCACACUUUCUAGAAAUAGGAAGGGCUCCUUUGCCCCUCUGCAACCUGCCUGCCUUGGUUUCUACCCCUGCUUCCUGCCCUGGUGAGGGCUCCUGGCACUCUGGGUGGACGCAGAAGGAAUGGGCGUCUCUGCUACCUCCUGUCAGGGCAGUCUUCCAGGCCACUGCUGGGUGAGGCACUGGCCUCCGGGGGUGAAGUUCUGCUCCUGGUACGCCGAGGGGUGGCCAUCCUGAGUCGGCUGUGUCUCUAACACACUUUUCAUUCCUCAGUUGAAACAGUGGUCUCUUGUCGUGGUUUCUCUGGACUCUCAGCCGAAGGACUGAUGGGUGCUGGGCCAGCCUACUUCCUGGAUCUGAACUGUGCUGUCUCUGCUCUGUCCUUGUGGUCUGUGGGUUGGGUAUUUGUAAGCUCACCUGACCCACGUCCGUGGAGGCCUUCCAGCCCACACUUCAGUACCUUCUAGUCCCCCAGGGACUUGUCCAGAGCAGGAACAUCUGAGUGGCCAAUGCGCAUGUUCCCGGUGCUCGCCAUCCCAAUCUACUCAGACUCAGACGGGUGUCCUUCUGGGCCUGUGCAGGGUCUGUUUCACGUGUUGUGCUUCUUCUCGGCGACUGCCCUGUGUGCAACACCCAAGCCUCUGCCAGAAGUGAGGUCAUGCCGCCCAUGGAGGACAAGUGAGCUGGAGGACUUCACUGGCAUGAGUUAGGUGCCGGGAGCUCAGGAUCAGUCCACAGUGUGCUCUGACAUGGAUACACAGUGCAAGGUUUUGCACUGACCCCCGAGAAGGCUCAGUGCCAGAGGUUGGCAGGCACCUACCUUGUGCCCUAGGUGUUAUGAGGCCAGGCUCAGAACUCCCUCCAAGGCGUGCCAUGGAGACUCUAAGUGGCCUUCAGUGUAGGAGCUGGCUGCAAAGCACUUCUCCGCCCUACUCUACCUGGCACUGGAUCACACGGCCCUCACUCCAGAAGGAUCCUGCCCCAUGCCUGGAGGAAGGAGUGCUCCACAGACGCUUGCUGGGUCCCCUCAGUCCACAGCAGCAAGCCUUUGGUGUCCAGUCUGGUUGCCCAUGCUCCAGUCACCUGUUCAAUGAAGUCUCCAUGAAAACCUAAGAAGAUAAGCUUCAGAAAGAUGUGACCCAGGUGCAGUGGUGCAUGCAUGUGAUCCCAGAGGCCCAGUGGCUCAGAAGGCUGAGACAGGAGGUUCACAAAUUCAAAACCAGCUUUGGCAACUUAGCAAGGCCCUAAGCAACUCAAUGAGACCCUGACUCUAAAUAAAACAUUAAAAGAGCUGGGAAUGCGGCUCAGUGGUUAAGCACCCCUGAGUUCAAUCCCUGAUGAAAGAAAGCAAGCAAGCAAGCUCCCAGAUGGCUGAGCGCGUGGAAGCAGCCCCUGCCCACACUCACUCUGCAGCUCUUUAUCUGCAUCCUGUGUGAAGAAAACAGAAGAUGCCAGUGACGGCAGGACUUCCCCCGAGUCCUUGAAGCACGCCGUAAAAUCAACAACCCCAACCAGAGGUCGUGAGGACAGACUUACAGCUGGGGGGUCAGAGCACAGGUUCUGCUCAGACUAGACACCAACCUCGCCAGCCUUGGGGACAGUGGGACACGGCUGAUGCUAUGGAACAUUACAGAACAGGGAAGAACCAGUUCCAGCCACAGAGGAGCCACCUGGGCCACAGUUCACCUGGACUCGUGACCACCCUGUUGUAGUAGAUGCCUAGGGAAACCCCCACCUGCCAGUACCAUGUGGCCUGACCCAUUCCAGCCCUGGCCACAACCAGCUCACGUAAGACGUGAAGGAAGGUGGUCCUAUCUUCAGGAGGGACCCGGUACUUCCUGGGAAGAUCCCGGUACUCCUCCUACUCACUCACCAGAGCCCAGUUCUCCCCACCCCCCAGGAGGACCCCUACCCACUGUUCCCAUGGGAAGCCGACCCGCUUUUCCUCAUUCUGGGGCCAAGAACAAACGCCCUCACCGUUCAGUCAACUCUUGGUUUAUAACUGGAAUCCACAAACCCAGUUUGGGGGUCAGAGAUUGCUAAUGGGAGAAGAGGCAAGGGAAGUCAAGCCACCACCAACAGCCCCUCCAGGUGUGCUGAGACCCUGGAGGCCUCACCUCAGAGGCGGAGCAUCAGCUCACAACAGCCCUCCUGUCCCCAACCUCCGCCUUCCUGUUACCCCUCACCUACAGCCAUGAGGGUGGCAGGUACACACCUUACGUCUUCCUUCCCAAGUCUCCAUCAGAGCACGCUUGGCCCAGGCCCGGCAGACCACCCGCUGCCACUCAGGCACUGGGGACGUCGUGGGACCUUUUUGCCAGGCCUGGCCUUCUCUGACCAAUGGCAGCAGCAGCUGAAUAAACACUUUAGUCCAGACUA